rnacentral:tRNA from 1 species
GGUAAAGUAGCCGAGUAGGCGGUGGGUUGUAGCCCCAAAGACGAGGGUUUAAGUCCUUCCCUUACCA